UACGGAGGGUGCAAGCGUUGUCCGGAAUCCCUGGGCGUAAAGGGCGCGUAGGCGGCUCAUGAAGGCUGUGGUGAAAGUCCGGGGCUCAACCUCGGAUCGGCCGUGGCGACUCGUGGGCUGGAGCACUGUAGAGGCGGGUGGAAUUCCGGGUGUAGCGGUGGAAUGCGUAGAGAUCCGGAAGAACACCAGUGGCGAAGGCGGCCCGCUGGGCAGUGGCUGACGCUGAGGCGCGACAGCGUGGGGAGCAAACAGG
rnacentral:rRNA from 1 species